GGAUCGAUGAUGAGUCCAACAAAAAAAAACAUUCCUUGGAAAAGCUGAACAAAAUGAGUGAGAACUCAUACCGUCGCUCUCAUCGGAACUGAGGUCC
ensembl:snoRNA SNORD116 Small nucleolar RNA SNORD116